UACGUAGGCAGCAAGCGUUGUUCGGAGUUACUGGGCGUAAAGGGUGCGUAGGCGGCUUUUUAAGUUUGGUGUGAAAUCUCCCGGCUCAACUGGGAGGGUGCGCCGAAUACUGAGAGGCUAGAGUGUGGGAGAGGAAAGUGGAAUUCCUGGUGUAGCGGUGAAAUGCGUAGAUAUCAGGAGGAACACCGGUGGUGUAGACGGCUUACUGGGCCACGACUGACACUGAGGCACGAAAGCGUGGGUAGCAAACAGG
rnacentral:rRNA from 1 species